ensembl:piRNA 21ur-657 ncRNA
UCCGUUGUUCAUUAUAGCUAA